CGUCUCAGCUCCUCCGCAUCUCAGCUCCUCAGUAUCUCCUCUCAAGCUCCUUCUGGUCCAGCAGGUCUCCAACCAUGUCCUCCCGCCAGGACAAGGAACGCUCCUCCGAGCACAGCGGCGAAUCCCGUUGCCUCUGGGACAUUUUCAGACCCAAUAACCAGGCAAGUGGUGGUGGAUCCAGUAGCCACGCAAACAGUGGCGGAUCCGGUAGCCAUGGGAGCGGUGGUGGAUCCAGUAACCAGGCAAACAGUGGCGGAUCCGGUAGCCACGGGAGCGGUGGUGGAUCCAGUAGCCACGCAAACAGUGGCGGAUCUGUUAGCCACGCAAGCAGUGGCGGAUCUGGUAGCCACGCGAGCACUGGUGGAUCCGGUAGCCAUGGGAGCAGUGGUGGACCCGGCUGUCAUGUGAACAGUAGCGGAUUCAAUUUCUACGGGAACGUAUCUGGCAGCCACGGGAGCAGCGGAGCCGGAUUCCACGGGGCCAGCAUAGCGUCCUGCCAUGGAAAUACGGAGGUGUGCCUCCAAAACAUCCAACGAAAACCCUCGGAUGACAAGUGAUAACCCCACCAGCUGCAGGUGAUCCACAGGAGUGCCCUGGAUCCUGUGCCACGUUCUGAAAGCUUUGCAUAUGCCCAGGAAUUUCCAAUUCCCAAGGACAAUGUGUCCUUCCCCUCCCCUGGUGUGUCCUGUAACCUGUCCUGAGCUUGUCUGUGGGUGCUGAAAUAAACGCUUUGCUCAGCUGGCA